UGCCAGCAGCCGCGGUAAUACGGAGUGUGCAAGCGUUAAUCGGAAUUACUGGGCGUAAAGCGCGCGUAGGCGGCUUAUUAAGUCGGGUGUGAAAGCCCCGGGCUCAACCCGGGAACUGCAUCCGAUACUGGUAGGCUAGAGUAUGGUAGAGGGAAGUGGAAUUCCACAUGUAGCGGUGAAAUGCAUAGAGAUGUGGAGGAACACCAAUGGCGAAGGCAACUUCCUGGACCAAUACUGACGCUGAGGUGCGAAAGCGUGGGGAGCAAACAGGAUUAGAUA
rnacentral:rRNA from 1 species